UACGAAGGGGGCUAGCGUUGUUCGGAAUUACUGGGCGUAAAGCGCACGUAGGCGGGUCUGUAAGUAGGGGGUGAAAUCCCAGGGCUCAACCCUGGAACUGCCUUCUAGACUGCAGGCCUCGAGGUCAGGAGAGGCGAGUGGAAUACCGAGUGUAGAGGUGAAAUUCGUAGAUAUUCGGUGGAACACCAGUGGCGAAGGCGGACUCGCUGGACUGAUGACUGACGCUGAGGUGCGAAAGCGUGGGGAGCAAACAGG
rnacentral:rRNA from 1 species